GAAAUGCGGGUGCUAUACUGCAAGUCGAGCGAAUGGAUUAAGAGCUUGCUCUUAUGAAGUUAGCGGCGGACGGGUGAGUAACACGUGGGUAACCUGCCCAUAAGACUGGGAUAACUCCGGGAAACCGGGGCUAAUACCGGAUAACAUUUUGAACCGCAUGGUUCGAAAUUGAAAGGCGGCUUCGGCUGUCACUUAUGGAUGGACCCGCGUCGCAUUAGCUAGUUGGUGAGGUAACGGCUCACCAAGGCAACGAUGCGUAGCCGACCUGAGAGGGUGAUCGGCCACACUGGGACUGAGACACGGCCCAGACUCCUACGGGAGGCAGCAGUAGGGAAUCUUCCGCAAUGGACGAAAGUCUGACGGAGCAACGCCGCGUGAGUGAUGAAGGCUUUCGGGUCGUAAAACUCUGUUGUUAGGGAAGAACAAGUGCUAGUUGAAUAAGCUGGCACCUUGACGGUACCUAACCAGAAAGCCACGGCUAACUACGUGCCAGCAGCCGCGGUAAUACGUAGGUGGCAAGCGUUAUCCGGAAUUAUUGGGCGUAAAGCGCGCGCAGGUGGUUUCUUAAGUCUGAUGUGAAAGCCCACGGCUCAACCGUGGAGGGUCAUUGGAAACUGGGAGACUUGAGUGCAGAAGAGGAAAGUGGAAUUCCAUGUGUAGCGGUGAAAUGCGUAGAGAUAUGGAGGAACACCAGUGGCGAAGGCGACUUUCUGGUCUGUAACUGACACUGAGGCGCGAAAGCGUGAGGAGCAAACAGGAUUAGAUACCCUGGUAGUCCACGCCGUAAACGAUGAGUGCUAAGUGUUAGAGGGUUUCCGCCCUUUAGUGCUGAAGUUAACGCAUUAAGCACUCCGCCUGAGAGUACGGCCGCAAGGCUGAAACUCAAGGAAUUGACGGGGGCCCGCACAAGCGGUGCAGCAUGUGUUUUAUUCGAAGCACGCGAAGAUCCUUACCAGGUCUGACAUCCUCUGACCACCCUAGAAGAUAGGUCUUCUCCUUCGACAGCAGAGUGACAGUGCUGCAUGUCGUCGUCAGCUCGUGUCGUGAGAUGUGGAUUACGUCCCAGCACGAGCGCCACCCGUGGAUCUAGUGCAUCAUAGUUGGGCCAUCUAGCUGACUGCGAGAACAACGGAGAGUGGGAUGACGUCAAAUCAUCAUGCCCUUAUGACCUGUCUACCACGUGCUACGAGUGGACCACGGUACGAG
rnacentral:rRNA from 1 species